AGUACAUCUCCUGUUUCCUGGGCUCUGGGUCUUCCUUUGUCUUGGUUUACACCCUUGUUUUGAUGGAGCACAUGUGCCAGUAGCUUUGUGAGAAAGGAUGCAUGAAUGAUACAUUUUUGAAACACGAACAUCUAAAAGUGUCUUUAUUGACUGAUGAUAGAUCUAUGUUGGAAAUCACCUUCCUUUGGAAUUUUGAAAACAUCAACUUCCAGUCUUGCUGUUGAAAAGACCAAAGCCUUUUUGCAUCUUGAUCCUUUGUAUGAAAGCUGUGCUUUUCUUUCUGCAAGACUAUAAAAUCUGUUUUUUUGUUGCAAAUGGUCUAAAAUUUCAUGGCAAUGUGCCAUGCCAAGAUAGGGGCUAUUUUCAUCCAUUCCGCUGAGUACUAACUGAGUCUUUCAACCUGUAAAAUCAUAUUCUAUUCUGAAGACUUUUCUUUUAACUAUUUCAUUAAUAGUUUUCUUCUGUUUAAUUUCUCUGAUCUUUCUUGUGGAAUGAUUGCUGUUCAGAUGAUGGAUCUCCUGGUCUAAUCUUUGUGUUUCCUUAUUUUUUCUCUCAUUGUCCAUUCUUUUGUCAUUUUCUCUAUUUUUUAGGAGUUUUCUUCAACUUUAUCUUCUGAUCCUUAAUUUAGUUUUUCAUUUUUGCCAUCAAGCUUUUACAUUUUUCAAGAGCUCCUUUUCUCAGAGAAUUUUUCUUUUUUAUAGCAUCCUGUUAUUGAAUAGACACAAGUCUUUGCACACUCAAGAACGUCAAAGUUUCUUUUUCUGACAUAUUCUCUACAUGCUCUAAGUUGUUCCAUUUCCCUCUUUGUUGUAGUAAUCUUUGUUUUCCACAUUUUAUGCUUUCCUCAAAGCCUGGAGAUCUUUUUCUGCCUGUUCAUGUUUGAAAGUGGUGUGUUAAGUUGCAUUUUGGAAUCCCAGUUCUGUGUGUUUAAAAAUAGCUUUCCCAAAUGCAUGGUCUGUCUUUUCAUUUUCUUUAUGCUAUAAUUCCAUAAACAGACUUUCUUAAUUUUAUUAUAGUGUAUUUCAGUUGUUUUCCUUUGGGUUUUUAUUUCUUAUUUAAGUCCCUCUUGAUCAUAAAGACAUUUUCCUAUAUUAUCUUUUAAAAGUCUUUUACUAAUGGCUGUUCUUUCCACAUUUAAAUCUUUAAUUCACUUAGAAUUAAACAUUGUGCAUAUAGUUUCCAUUGUGAUACAGUGAAAAUGAAUCCAACUAGUAUCCAUGAGGACACAGUUUCGAUCCCUGACCUCGCUCAGUGGGUUAGGGAUCAGGGAUUGCCAUGAUCUGUGGUGUAGGUCGCAGGUGCAGCUUGGAUCCCUCAUUGCUGUAGCUGUGGUGUAGGCUGACAGUUGUAGCUCAGAAUCAACCCCUAGCCUGGAAACUUCCAUAUACUGUGGGUGCAGCCCUGAAAAAUAAAUAAAUAAAUAAAUAUCGUGUAUGGUAAAACAUAGGCAUACAAUUUCAUUCUUUUCCCAUAUGGAUAACCAAUUGCCCCAGAACCAUUUAUUGAAAAUUCCAUCUUUUCCUCAUUGAUAACAAUGGCAAAAGUGUCAUAACUCAGGCUUGUGGUUGCAUCCAUUUGGGAGAUUGCUAUUCUGUUCCAUUGUUCUAAUUGUCAGGUUUUUUUGGUCAAUACUAUAUAGUUCUAAAAUAAGACUUGAUAGGAUAAGAUUUCCUACAUUAUUCCUUAUCUAGAAUAGAAAACUGAAAAUAAAAGGAAAAAAAAAACAACUCCUAAUGUGAAAGAAAUGAUGGGUUUGACUUUAUCCAUUCAUUCAUCAAGAAGGUCUUAAGUACCUGCUAUGUUUCAGAAAAGCUCUAGAAAUUGGGAAAUAAAUGAGACAAAAUCCCUGCCUCAGAACAAUGAGCAACCUAGGAGGGGAGACUGAUAAGCAAUUACACUUUAGGCAUUCCCUGGUGGCGCACUGAGUUAACCAUCCACUGUUGUCACUGCCAUGGCUCAGGUCACUGCUGUGGCAUGGGUUCAAACUGUGGGCACCGCCAAAGAAAAAAAAAGAAUUACAGUUUAAUUCUGUUAUUAGCUAGCAUAAAGGCAAGAAUAAAGGACUUAUAAGAUGCUGUGUGUACAAAGAAGAGGAAGUAAUUAUGCCCAGGAAUAGUCAGGACAGGUUUGACCAAUAAAUGAUAGAAUCGAGUUGUUCUCAAAAGAUAAACUGGCAUUCAGUAGGAGAGAAGGGGGAAGGAAUUACAGACAAAGGAAACUCCAUGGAGACAUGAACAUGCAUGACCUGUUUCAAAGUAAAGAGUCAAGCAGAGGAGGAGAUUGGGUUAGAAAGGGGUUAAGGUCAGAUGGGGAAAGACAUUGUCUGCCCAACUGAGAUGUGUGAACUUUCCCUGUAGACAGAGGUAGCCUCAGAGGAUUUGAAGGAGGAAGGUAAUGUCACUUCUCUUGUGCGUUUGGCUGCAUAAAAACGAGAGCUUAGUGGAGGGUGGGGAGAGCACUGUGUAUGGAAAAGCCAGUUCCAGUUGCAUUGUCCAUGGGAGAGAUUCUGGCAUCUGAACUUAGGCAGGAAUGAAGUGGUGAAAAGGUAAGGACAGAUCGGGAGACAUUAAAAAGGAGAAAGAACAGAGCACGGCGAGAGGGGCUGUCAACCUAAGGGGAAGGGUGGGGCAAAUGACGGCAAAUGUUCGAGCUUGGGUAACUGAGUGGACGGGGACCUCACUCACUGACCUUUGGAAACGGAAGUCGUUGUGCUGGAGGAAUAUGCCAGGGUGUCUGGCAGAGGAGAGGGAUAAUCCAUGACUUUAAAUUUGGCCAUGUCCAGUGUAAGAGUCCUCGGGACAUCUGGGAGGAGAUGGGUUGCCAGUUGUAGGCACAGGUUUAGAGCUUAAGAGUUCUCCCCCAUCCAAACCCUAGACAUGCCCAACAUCCUCUCAUUCCCUGAAUAACCCGAGUCCUCAAAUACACUAGAUCAUUUUUCCCCAUCCCACUGUCCUUAAAGACAGAUUUUCCAAAUGAUUACACUUAGCGUUUCAGCGUAUUUGUCCUCUAUGCAUUUCAGCCUUAAGACAAAGAGAGAGCAAUGACUCACUCUGCUUUUCAUAGGUGGGGGCAGGGAGGGUCACUCAAUGACUCUCCAGGGACUUAGUGAUUUUAAAGAGGUGCUGCCCUGCGAAAGAGACUCCCUGAUGGGGACAUUCAUUUGCUGGACUCUUACAGAAUCUCUACCAGAGGAACAGGAGAGGAAGUGUCAUUUAAUCCUGCCCCUUGCACUUCACCUACUGCAAAUGUUCUGCCAGCAUCUUUUAGAGGAAUUUGGGUGCCUAGAAUUCAUCAUGGAGAGAAUAAUAUUGCCUUGACAAAGAAUGCUCUUUGCAGGAAGUUGAAGGCAUUUGUGUAUUUAAAAUCAUAGGCUAUAAUACAUGUGUCUAUUUGCCUUAUCCUGUGAUUAGAGUGUGACAAUUAUGUUUCCAGAGUAAAGUAGAAUACUUAAAAGUAAAAGAGGUUGAUUUCUAGCUACUUCUAAAACACUUAAAUAUAUAAUGUUUUCUUUAGUUCAUGAAAUAUCAGUGGUACUUUUCUAAUGAUUGCCAUUAAUACUAAAUUUUGAAAGUGCACUGACAUCUCACAGAAAUUAAACAGUCAUUGCCCUUGCCUUAGAUACAAACUUCAAACGUAAUGGGUGAACAUCACCCACCUUUUAAGGCUUGCGAGUCAUCAGUGCUCUGCUGUGGAUACAACAGACUUUAAGCUGUAAUGUGUGGUGUGGUUACUACAAAUCCAGGUCAGAUCUCACUGCGGCAAAUACUCAGGGUAUGUCUGUUGCCCUGUGGUGUGGGAGUUUAACAGUAUCUAUAUUGUUUGGUAUAAAAAAAAAGAAAAGAAAAACCAUCAGCUGAGCAUUAUAACCCUUUUCCUCUGCCGUGAUUUACACUGGGAUGUUUUGGUUCCAUUGUGAUUUGACUUAUAUCGCCAAGAGAGAUGAAGCCAGAAAACGUGAAGACAUGUUUGUAGGCUGAACACGUUUCUAUCCACCAUACUUUACUUUAGGUUUUUUCCUAAUCAAGUCACCAAAAGGACAAAAUGUUAUGAAAAGAGACCAGGAAACCUACUCUUUAAAAAUCUUGAUUGAUUUCAAGAAAAAGAAAAUCUUGAUUGAUGCUUGAAACGAAGGUUUUCUCCAAGCUUGGCUGCCAAGAGGUACAGGAAUGCUCUGAUCUCCAGCAACAUUGAGUCAUAUUUAAACUUUGACUGUAUUUUUUGAGUUUGAUAAGCAGUUGAUCAGCAGCAGUAGGCAUUUGGAAAAAGUCUUCCCCAGCAACUCCUGGCAGCUUGACUUGCUGGGCUCACUGCUCCCAUCUCCAAAAUAGCAGCUCCUACCUGGCAUUACAUUGUCUAUGUUAACACACACCUCCAUUCUCGAGUGUAGGCACCAUGGUGGCCGAAGUAGGGCUCCUGCAUCAGUGCUUCUUCGGUGCUGGCGCUGGUCCCUAGUCCACAGUGAGAAACUCAGAGAGUGUGCUGGAUGCUGAGCCUCCCACAUGCUGAUUUACCUGCUGCCCAACUGGCCUGUUGUGGGUUGAGUUGUGUCCCCAUUCCCAAAAAUGCAUGUAGAAGUCCUUACCUCCAGGACGUUAGAAUGUGAUCUUAUUCGAACAUGAAGGUCAUUCAGAUACAAUGAAUUAAGUAGGUAGGAUAAAGUCAUACUGACACAGGAGGAUGGGGCCCUAAUCCAAUGUGACUGGCGUCAUUAUCCCGAGGAGAAAUUUGAGCACAGACACACAGGCAGGGGGAAUGCCAUGAGAACACAAAGGCAGAGAUAGGGUGAUGUGUCAACCAGCCAAGAAAGCCAGAAGUUACCAGCAAACCACCAGAAGCUAGGAGAGAGGCACCAAACAGAUUCUCCCUGUGUUCCCAGAAGAAACUACACCUGCUGACCUUGAUCUCAGCCUUCUAGCUGCCAGGACUGUGAGACAACAAAUUUCUGUUAUUCAAGCCACCCAGUUUGUGGCUCUUUGUUAUGGCAGCCCUAGCAAAUGAAUACAUAGCCUCUAUCCUAGAAAAGAAGUAGGAGAAUGACAAGGUUAUUAUUAUCGGUUCAUAAGAACAGAAAUGACAGCUUUCUAACAGGGCAAAAUUAAUCAUUUUUAGAUUAUUCACUUUAUAGCCUUCUGAUUCUUGUAAUUGCCAUAUGUGGUAAUAGAAAGUGGAGUGAGAAAAGGUCUGAUGGAAAUGUGUUCUUAAAUGAGUGAUGUAUAUUACACUGAUGGAUGGUUGAUGGAUAUAUUUGAGAGAAUGAGGCCCUGUUAUAGUAAAACAGGCUCAGAGUUAUACAUAAUCUAAACAUAUUGGUGCCCAGGGCCCAAUACAUAAAGCUUCUGCUUUGAUAUUAAACUGAUGCAUGUGUUAUAAAGACGCUAAAGACAAAUGUGCACAAAUAAUCACGGAAUCGUUUUCUAUUAGUAAAGGGGAGAUGUAUGAACUCGAAUAUUUUGCUCCCACGUAACUGCAAUCACAAGUGAAUGCGAAAUAUCAAUACUGUUGGGAGGGGAAAUUGACAAGAGAAUAAUACCCUCUGUUCUGGAGGCUCAGGGAAGGGAUGGAAAGAGCAUGAGUUUUAAAGUCAGAAAGAGCUGGGUUCUGGUCCCAGUUCUUCUUCCCAGCAAGUCAUUUAACCCUCUACGAUUCUGUUUCCUAACCUGGAAAAUGGGGAUAAUAUCAUCUCCCCAGAGAACUGAGCUGAUGCUCAAAUGAGAUAAUAUUGGUACAGAGACCAGCACAGUGCCUGGUCGCAUGCUUAAUGAUAAUGUUCAGUAAAUAGUAGCUGCAGGAGUUCCCAUCAUGACUCAGUGGUUGGCGAACCCGACUAGCAUCCAUGAGGACUCGGGUUCAAUUCCUGGCCUUGCUCGGCGGGUCAAGGAUCAGGUGUGGCAGGUGUAGGUCGCAGAUGCAGCUCAGAUCCUGCAUUGCUGUGGCUGUGGUGUAGGCCGAUGGCUACAGCUCUGAUUCAGCCCCUAACCUGGGAACCUCCAUGUGCCAGGAGUGCAGCCCUGAAAAGACAGAAGACAAAAAAAAAAAAAAA
rnacentral:lncRNA from 1 species